AAUAGCCUAACGGCUGAACCAGCAACUUGGAGGAAUGUAUAGCAAUAGCUAAUUGUAUCAAUAUAUAGUUGAUGCAAUAUCGACUCUGUCGAAUAAAAUUCUAGGUAGAAUUAUGAUAAUGACAUUGUCUACCUAUGUGUCUUGACCAAAUUACGUGCCAGCAGUCGCGGUAAUACGUAGAAGACUAGUGUUAUUCAUCUUUAAUAGGUUUAAAGGGUACCUAGACGGUAAAUCAAGCCUUCAAGGGACUAAUUUACUAGAGUUACUUGUGAGGGGGUAUUAAAGUACUGCUGGUGUAGAGAUGAAAUUCUGUCAUACCUAUCUGUAAUAGAAUAAUGGCACAGGUAUAGGCGAAAGCAUCCCCUUAUGUGAUAACUGACGUUGAAGGACGAAGGCUUUGUGUCGCGAACAGGAUUAGAUACCCCAGUAGUCAAAGCAGAAAAUGAUGAGUGUCAUAGAUUAGACAUAUAAUAGUUUAUUCUAUAAAUGAAAGUGUAAGCAUUCCACCUCAAGAGUAAUUUGGCAACAUUGGAACUGAAAUCAUUAGACCGUUUCUGAAACCAGUAGUGAAGUAUGUUGUUUAAUUUGAUGAUCCGCAAAAAACCUUACCACAAUUUGAAUAUUUAUGUAUUUUUUAUAUUUCUCAUUUUUUUUAUCACUUUUUCUUAUCUCUUACACGAAACGAAAAUAAAUAAAAAAAAAACAGUAAGUUAAAUAAACAUAUUUACAAGCGUUGCACGGCUGUCUUCAGUUAAUGUCGUGAGAUUUUGGUUAGCUCCAUUAAAUUAACGUAAACCCUUACUUUAUUUUUAUAUAAAGUAGUUCUCCGCUAGAUUGGAUAAGAUAACAGGGACUAAGACAAGUCAUCAUGGCCUGAAUAUUGUGGGCUAUAGACGUGCCACAUAAACCUUACAAAAGGAUGUGAAAUUGUGAAAUUGAGCUAAUCCCGCAAAAAUGGAGAUACACUAACAAU
rnacentral:rRNA from 1 species